AAAGUCGUAACAAGGUCUCCGUUGGUGAACCAGCGGAGGGAUCAUUACAGAGUUACCAAGCUCACCAAAACCAUCGCGAACGUUACCCGUACCGUUGCCUCGGCGGGCGGCUCCAUCCCGGAGCCGCAGCCCCCUCACGGGGGCGGCCCGCCGGAGGUCAGCCGGAGAAAAACUCUUUGUCCUCUAGGGCCUCUCUGAGUAUUUUUGUACUAAACAAGUCAAAACUUUCAACAACGGAUCUCUUGGUUCUG
rnacentral:misc_RNA from 1 species